AGAGUUUGAUCCUGGCUCAGAACGAACGUUGGCGGCGUGGAUUAGGCAUGCAAGUCGAACGAAUCCCGUAGCAAUACGGGGGAAGUGGCGAAAGGGGCAGUAAGGCAUGGCUAACCUACCCCGGGGACGGGGAUAGCCCUCCUAACGGAGGGGUAAUACCCGGCGAGAUGGCGUUGCCGCAUGGCGGUGCCAUGAAAUGAGUUUCGCCUCGGGAGGGGGUCAUGUGCUAUUAGCUAGUUGGCGGGGUAACGGCCCACCAAGGCGAAGAUGGCUAGCGGGUGUGAGAGCACGACCCGCGCCACUGGCACUGAGACACUGGCCAGACUCCUACGGGAGGCUGCAGUCGAGGAUCUUCGGCAAUGGGCGCAAGCCUGACCGAGCGACGCCGCGUGUGCGAUGAAGGCCUUCGGGUUGUAAAGCACUGUCGAGGGGGAGGAAAGCCCGCAAGGGUCUGACCUAUCCCUGGAGGAAGCACGGGCUAAGUUCGUGCCAGCAGCCGCGGUAAGACGAACCGUGCAAACGUUGUUCGGAUUCACUGGGCUUAAAGGGCGCGUAGGCGGUCGUCCAAGUCGGGGGUGAAAUCCUCUCGCUCAACGAGAGAACAGCUUCCGAUACUGGACGUCUUGAGGGAGGUAGGGGCAACUGGAACUUCCGGUGGAGCGGUGAAAUGCGUAGAUAUCGGAAGGAACGCCGGUGGCGAAAGCGAGUUGCUGGACCUCUUCUGACGCUGAGGCGCGAAAGCCAGGGGAGCAAACGGGAUUAGAUACCCCGGUAGUCCUGGCCCUAAACGUUGGGGACUAGGUUGUGGACUUGACAUGGGUUCACAGCCGAAGCAAAAGCGGUAAGUCCCCCGCCUGGGGAGUAUGGUCGCAAGGCUGAAACUCAAAGGAAUUGACGG
rnacentral:rRNA from 1 species